UACGUAGGCAGCGAGCGUUUGUUCGGAGUUACUGGGCGUAAAGGGUGUGUAGGCGGUUGUUUAAGUUUGGUGUGAAAUCUCCCGGCUCAACUGGGAGGGUGCGCCGAAUACUGAAUAACUAGAGUGCGGGAGAGGAAAGUGGAAUUCCUGGUGUAGCGGUGAAAUGCGUAGAUAUCAGGAGGAACACCUAUUGCGAAGGCAGCUCGCUGGGACGUAACUGACGCUGAGACGCGAAAGCGUGGGGAGCAAACAGG
rnacentral:rRNA from 1 species